CGCCCUGCUGGUGCACCGGGGCGAGGCGCAGCCGCUCUACGACGGCGGCGACCUGAAGGUGCCCACGUUCCACGGCGUCGUGGUGCGC
rnacentral:tRNA from 1 species